CCAGAUGCCUCUCAAUGGGCAAAUGCAUCAAGUAAAUGUGUAUAUACUCACAAGGGAAUUUUACUCAUCCAUUAGAAUGAUGAUGUACCAUUUCAUGAGGAAAUGGAAGGACUUGGAAAAAAUUAUACUAAGUGAAGUGAGCCAGACCCAAAG